rnacentral:tRNA from 1 species
ACCGUAGCUCAGUGGUAGAGCACACCCUUGGUAAGGGUGAGGUCAAGGGUUCAAGCCCCUUCGGU